rnacentral:rRNA from 1 species
GAUGAACGCUGGCGGCGUGCCUAAUACAUGCAAGUCGAGCGAACGGACGAGAAGCUUGCUUCUCUGAUGUUAGCGGCGGACGGGUGAGUAACACGUGGAUAACCUACCUAUAAGACUGGGAUAACUUCGGGAAACCGGAGCUAAUACCGGAUAAUAUUUUGAACCGCAUGGUUCAAAAGUGAAAGACGGUCUUGCUGUCACUUAUAGAUGGAUCCGCGCUGCAUUAGCUAGUUGGUAAGGUAACGGCUUACCAAGGCAACGAUGCAUAGCCGACCUGAGAGGGUGAUCGGCCACACUGGAACUGAGACACGGUCCAGACUCCUACGGGAGGCAGCAGUAGGGAAUCUUCCGCAAUGGGCGAAAGCCUGACGGGGCAACGCCGCGUGAGUGAUGAAGGUCUUCGGAUCGUAAAACUCUGUUAUUAGGGAAGAACAUAUGUGUAAGUAACUGUGCACAUCUUGACGGUACCUAAUCAGAAAGCCACGGCUAACUACGUGCCAGCAGCCGCGGUAAUACGUAGGUGGCAAGCGUUAUCCGGAAUUAUUGGGCGUAAAGCGCGCGUAGGCGGUUUUUUAAGUCCGAUGUGAAAGCCCACGGCUCAACCGUGGAGGGUCAUUGGAAACUGGAAAACUUGAGUGCAGAAGAGGAAAGUGGAAUUCCAUGUGUAGCGGUGAAAUGCGCAGAGAUAUGGAGGAACACCAGUGGCGAAGGCGACUUUCUGGUCUGUAACUGACGCUGAUGUGCGAAAGCGUGGGGAUCAAACAGGAUUAGAUACCCUGGUAGUCCACGCCGUAAACGAUGAGUGCUAAGUGUUAGGGGGUUUCCGCCCCUUAGUGCUGCAGCUAACGCAUUAAGCACUCCGCCUGGGGAGUACGACCGCAAGGUUGAAACUCAAAGGAAUUGACGGGGACCCGCACAAGCGGUGGAGCAUGUGGUUUAAUUCGAAGCAACGCGAAGAACCUUACCAAAUCUUGACAUCCUUUGACAACUCUAGAGAUAGAGCCUUCCCCUUCGGGGGACAAAGUGACAGGUGGUGCAUGGUUGUCGUCAGCUCGUGUCGUGAGAUGUUGGGUUAAGUCCCGCAACGAGCGCAACCCUUAAGCUUAGUUGCCAUCAUUAAGUUGGGCACUCUAAGUUGACUGCCGGUGACAAACCGGAGGAAGGUGGGGAUGACGUCAAAUCAUCAUGCCCCUUAUGAUUUGGGCUACACACGUGCUACAAUGGACAAUACAAAGGGCAGCGAAACCGCGAGGUCAAGCAAAUCCCAUAAAGUUGUUCUCAGUUCGGAUUGUAGUCUGCAACUCGACUACAUGAAGCUGGAAUCGCUAGUAACCGUAGAUCAGCAUGCUACGGUGAAUACGUUCCCGGGUCU